AUUGAACGCUGGCGGCAGGCCUAACACAUGCAAGUCGAACGAGUGGCGGAGGGGUGAACAGUGUCGGGAAAAGUGCCUGAGAGAGGGGGAAAAAUAGUGGAAACGGUAGAAAAACCCGCAAACCAUGGGAUGUGCCCACGUGGGAUUAGCGAGGAGGUGGGGUAAAGGCUCACCGAGGCGACGCUCCCUAGCUGGUCUGAGAGGAUGACCAGCCACACUGGAACUGAGACACGGUCCAGACUCCUACGGGAGGCAGCAGUGGGGAAUAUUGCACAAUGGGCGCAAGCCUGAUGCAGCCAUGCCGCGUGUAUGAAGAAGGCCUUCGGGUUGUAAAGUACUUUCAGCGGGGAGGCGUUACCCGCAGAAGAAGCACCGGCUAACUCCGUGCCAGCAGCCGCGGUAAUAC
rnacentral:rRNA from 1 species